rnacentral:rRNA from 1 species
UACGGAGGGUGCGAGCGUUGUUCGGAAUCACUGGGCGUAAAGGGCGUGUAGGCGGUCCGCUAAGUCUGAUGUGAAAGCCCGGGGCUCACCCCCGGAAGUGCAUUGGAAACUGGCGGACUCGAGUCCCGGAGAGGAGGGUGGAAUUCCUGGUGUAGCGGUGAAAUGCGUAGAGAUCAGGAAGAACACCGGUGGCGAAGGCGCUCUGCUAGGCCGCAACUGACACUGAGGGACGAAGGCCAGGGGAGCAAACGGG